UCGACCUGAGAUUAGAUAAGAUUACCCGCCGAAUUUAAGCAUAUUAAUAAGCGGAGGAAAAGAAAACAACUGUGAUUCCCUUAGUAAUGGCGAAUGAAAUGGGAAUAGCCCAUCGCGUAACUGCAGGUCAACUUGGCCUCGCGGAAUGUCGCGUUUGGGAGAGUCUCAUCGGGAGCUGGACGGCCAGUCAAAGUCCAACUUGACAGUGGCCACUGCCCAUAGAGGGUGAUAGGCCUGUAAGGCGGCUGUCCGUUUCCGCCGACUUUUCCCCAGAGUCGGGUUGCUUGGGAGUGCAGCCCAAAGUGCGAGGUAAACUCCUCGUAAGGCUAAAUAUGACCUCGAGACCGAUAGCAAACAAGUACCGUGAGGGAAGAUUGAAAAGAACUUUGAAGAGAGAGUUCAAUAGUACGUGAAACUGUGUGGUGGUAAACGGAGGGGUUCUCGAAGUUUCUGUGGGGAACUCAACCUUGGUGUUGGGCAGUCCUGGUGUAUCUGAUCAGCAAUGACUGUGCACUUGGUCUGGCUUGGCUCUCGGGUGCAUUUCCCCCACAGUUUACGACAGGAACCAUUUGGCUCGGAUCGAAGGCCACGGGUGAAGUUGUUGCUUAUGGUGGCAGCCCUGUGUGUCCUGGCUCUGCGCCCGAUGGGUAUGUGAGAGGACUCGUAUAGCGAGCAAUGCUCUGUUGCGGUCUC
rnacentral:rRNA from 1 species